rnacentral:rRNA from 1 species
CGUUGGGGGACCAAGGGCCUUCCUUUUUUUUGUUGGUGUUGGAAGGGUAAUUUGCAGGAAGAAAGCACCCGGCUUAAAUUACGUGCCCAGCAGGCCGCGGGUAAUUACGUAGGGGUGCCAAGCGUUAUCCGGGAAUUUAUUUGGGCGUAAAAGAGCUCGGUAGGCGGGUUUGUCGGCGUCUGUCGUGAAAAGUCCGGGGGCUCAAAUCCCGGAUUUUGCGGUGGGUACGGGCAGACUAGAGUGAUGUAGGGGAGACUGGAAUUCCUGGUGUAGCGGUGGAAUGCGCAGAUAUCAGGAGGAACACCGAUGGCGAAGGCAGGUCUCUGGGCAUUAACUGACGCUGAGGAGCGAAAGCAUGGGGAGCGAACAGGAUUAGAUACCCUGGUAGUCCAUGCCGUAAACGUUGGGCACUAGGUGUGGGGGACAUUCCACGUUUUCCGCGCCGUAGCUAACGCAUUAAGUGCCCCGCCUGGGGAGUACGGCCGCAAGGCUAAAACUCAAAGAAAUUGACGGGGGCCCGCACAAGCGGCGGAGCAUGCGGAUUAAUUCGAUGCAACGCGAAGAACCUUACCAAGGCUUGACAUGAACCGGAAAGGCGUAGAAAUACGUCCCCCACUUGUGGUCGGUUUACAGGUGGUGCAUGGUUGUCGUCAGCUCGUGUCGUGAGAUGUUGGGUUAAGUCCCGCAACGAGCGCAACCCUCGUUCUAUGUUGCCAGCACGUGAUGGUGGGGACUCAUAGGAGACUGCCGGGGUCAACUCGGAGGAAGGUGGGGAUGACGUCAAAUCAUCAUGCCCCUUAUGUCUUGGGCUUCACGCAUGCUACAAUGGCCGGUACAAAGGGUUGCGAUACUGUGAGGUGGAGCUAAUCCCAAAAAGCCGGUCUCAGUUCGGAUUGGGGUCUGCAACUCGACCCCAUGAAGUCGGAGUCGCUAGUAAUCGCAGAUCAGCAACGCUGCGGUGAAUACGUUCCCGGGCCUUGUACACACCGCCCGUCAAGUCACGAAAGCUGGUAACACCUGAAGCCGGGGCUCUACUCCCUAUGUUGAACUAUCAGUCUAUAGAGCUAGCAGCUUACCUCUCU